CUUAGUGUUCACCUAGGAAUACCACACGCAGAGAGAGAGAGAGAGAGAGUGCCGGUAGAGCUCUUGAGAGGAGAAAAACUAAGGUAUUAAAGAGAAGGCCAAUUCUUGUUGUAUUCCAUCAAAUUGAAGAUAUAAAAGGGUUCUUGAAAUUGGAAGAAUAAACUCCAUGAAUUUCAAAGAUUGGAACCCUAAGGUGAGCGUUCUGGAGGUCAAGUCUAGAAGGGGUCUUUAGCCGAUCUACCCUUUUGAAGCCUCCGAGUUGGGGCUAGGCCUGGAAGGCCGUUGUCAAGCUUUUGAUCGUGAAAUAAACUUUUGUUAUAUGCAUAUGUUAUGUAUAAGAUGUUAAGUUACAAGUUAUGUACUGAAUAUGGGUAAAUUAACGUUUUUGCACAUAAAUUUUUGUUCAUAUAGAUGUACAACUCAUUGGACUACUGGUGUUUUUGAAUAUUGUUUCCGCUAGCCCCGAUUAUUUUUUAUUGUACAGGAAUGCCUUUGGUAAUCUCAGAUUACUGGCCGGUUACGACACUAAACCUAUAGAGGCGAGUUUGGGUCGUGACAAACGAAAACACACUUUAGUGGCACUGCACUAGUGGCAUGUUUUUAGAAAAUGUCACAAAAAUAAUAUUUUGUGACACGUUUUUGAAAAAUGCCACAGAACCACAAACAUAUAAGGCUCUAGUGGCAUUU